ensembl:lncRNA
GUUCUAGAGAGGAAAGGUAGAGUCAGAUGUCAACAACGAAUGGUAAGAAAGUCGAUUCUUCUUUAGAGGAUUGCUACCAAGACUGAGGAAAACACCAGCUGAACCAAAGUUUCAAAACCGUUAGUCUAACACCAAGACAGCAGAUGCUCAUGGAUAGUCUGAAGUUUUAUCUCAGAUGCUGUUUUCAACUUGGUUCAGAAAACUUUAUGGACUGGCACCAUCAAGAAUUAAUGUUUUUGAUAACUGUUAAAAAUAGUAAAUUGGUGAUGCUGCGGUUGAAAGCCUGUUCAGCUACAUGGACCAUGGCCUGUGAACUCCUUAUUCCUUUCCACCUUUUCCAGGAGUGCCAGGAGAGGAAGAGAGUAGGGGUGAGCUGCUAGAAGAUGUAACUUGGGGAGAAGUGGGAGGAAUUCGGAGGAUGGAAGACUUUUCGUUCUGCGUUUUGUGUUAUGAUUGAUACAGGAAUGUGAUGUUAGACUGCUAGCAUGUUUCUUUCAGAUGAAACAUCCUUAAUGAACACUCUGCAUUGCUUAUAUUUGAGUUAGAGUUUCAGCUUCCAGGAC